UAAUACGAAGGGGGCUAGCGUUGCUCGGAAUUACUGGGCGUAAAGGGCGCGUAGGCGGGUCGUUUAGUUAGAGGUGAAAGCCCAGGGCUCAACCCUGGAAUUGCCUUUAAUACUGGCGGCCUUGAGUAUGGCAGAGGUGUGUGGAACUCCGAGUGUAGAGGUGAAAUUCGUAGAUAUUCGGAAGAACACCAGUGGCGAAGGCGACACACUGGGCCAUUACUGACGCUGAGGCGCGAAAGCGUGGGGAGCAAACAGGAUUAGAUACCCUGGUAGUCCACGCUGUAAACGAUGAGUGCUAGUUGUCGGCAUGCAUGCAUGUCGGUGACGCAGCUAACGCAUUAAGCACUCCGCCUGGGGAGUACGGUCGCAAGAUUA
rnacentral:rRNA from 1 species